rnacentral:lncRNA from 1 species
AAGAAUUCAUAUCAGACUUUUACAAAGUUAACCCAGUAGUCUAUUCACUUGAAGUGGUAGAUAAAAUGCAUUGAAACUAUACAAAUAAAACUAUAUUGUUAAGGUAUUGAAGCAAAAAAGAUCUUGUAAAAUGCAUCUUCACAUGUAUUUUACAAGCUCUUUCUUGCUUUUUUUCUUGCAUAAGAAAAUUGAGAGGGUUUGUCAAAUCUCACUCCAUACUUACUAACUAUAUUUUCCAGCUCAUUCUACUUUACAUUGAAUAUCAUUCCAUGCUGGUUGUAAAUUGAAAACUUUGUGCCAUUGGGCCUCAGCCUUUUUUCUGUAACAAUCUGGCAGCCAUAUCAGUCUUGCUUGUAGUUCAGGUAAUAGUUUAAGGUCAUCCUGACAAUGGCCUGGUUGUAUCCUUUCCUUAUUGAACACCUGAAACUGUUUCCCCUGACAAUGUCUGUGCCCUCUGUCCAAAAAGAAGUUCAAGGUCAACCUAUCAUGUCACUCCUUUCUGCUCUGUUUCUUCCACAGAUGCAAGUAACCAUUUUUCAAACACAAUAUUCAAAUAUUACUCACACCACAAAUCAUUUCACACUCAAUCUGUAAUAUAUAUUAUAGCAUUAUAUAUAUAUAUAUAUUAUAUUAUAGCAUUGUAUAUAUAUAUAUAUAGCAUUAUUUUAUGUUUUUAUUGCGGCAUGAUCAGUUUUCCAUCAACAGGGUGGUAAUUUGACACAGGCCUUCAACCAACAGUUCUUGGCUAAUGUAAAUACAUAAACAAUCUGGAGGAAACAUUCCUGCUUUAUGUAACAUUUUCUUCCCAACUUAAUCUGAUGUAGACUAUCUGGCAGGAUUGAAAAUGUUUCUUUUCUGAAAUAGGGAUUCUUCCUGCCUAGUGCUGUGCCAUUUUUUAUGACUUUUGAUGCUAUUCUUGAGUAGUCACACACCAUUCCCUUAUUUUUAAUAAUAGAACAAGUAAGUUAAUAAUCAUUGUUAGAAAUAAAUGUGGUGGAUUAUUUUUAAUUGGCAGUAUUGAAUAAACCUUCUUAAAAGUAAAGUUAGUAAAAAAAUUUGUAAGAAAUUCAAAAAAACAAGCAUAGUUAUUUAGUUUGUCAAUUUUAAGAAUAAAAAAUGAAAGAGCUGAUAAUUUAAAUAUAGAUGUAAAUAAACAUUGCUUAAUGCAAUAAAAAUGCC